rnacentral:rRNA from 1 species
GACGAACGCUGGCGGCGUGCUUAACACAUGCAAGUCGAACGGAAAGGCCCUGCUUUUGUGGGGUGCUCGAGUGGCGAACGGGUGAGUAACACGUGAGUAACCUGCCCUUGACUUUGGGAUAACUUCAGGAAACUGGGGCUAAUACCGGAUAGGAGCUCCUGCUGCAUGGUGGGGGUUGGAAAGUUUCGGCGGUUGGGGAUGGACUCGCGGCUUAUCAGCUUGUUGGUGGGGUAGUGGCUUACCAAGGCUUUGACGGGUAGCCGGCCCGAGAGGGUGACCGGCCACAUUGGGACUGAGAUACGGCCCAGACUCCUACGGGAGGCAGCAGUGGGGAAUAUUGCACAAUGGGCGGAAGCCUGAUGCAGCAACGCCGCGUGCGGGAUGACGGCCUUCGGAUUGUAAACCGCUUUCGCCUGUGACGAAGCGUGAGUGACGGUAAUGGGUAAAGAAGCACCGGCUAACUACGUG